GACACGACCGUACCGCAAACCGACACUGGUGCGCGAGAUGAGUAUUCUAAGGCGCUUGAGAGAACUCAGGAGAAGGAACUCGGCAAAUUGACACCGUAACUUCGGAAGAAGGUGUGCCUUUUAGUAGGUGAAGUCCCUCGCGGACGGAGCCCAAUGAGGUUGCAAAAAAUCGGUGGCUGCGACUGUUUAUUAAAAACACAGCACUCUGCAAACACGAAAGUGGACGUAUAGGGUGUGACGCCUGCCCGGUGCUGGAAGAUUAAAUGAUGGGGUGCAAGCUCUUGAUUGAAGUCCCAGUAAACGGCGGCCGUAACUAUAACGGUCCUAAGGUAGCGAAAUUCCUUGUCGGGUAAGUUCCGACCUGCACGAAUGGCGUAACGAUGGCCACACUGUCUCCUCCUGAGACUCAGCGAAGUUGAAAUGUUUGUGAUGAUGCAAUCUCCCCGCGGAAAGACGGAAAGACCCCAUGAACCUUUACUGUAGCUUUGUAUUGGACUUUGAACAGAUCUGUGUAGGAUAGGUGGGAGGCUUUGAAGCAGGGUCGCUAGAUCUUGUGGAGCCAACGUUGAAAUACCACCCUGGUGUGUUUGAGGUUCUAACCUAGGCCCGUAAUCCGGGUUGGGGACAGUGCAUGGUAGGCAGUUUGACUGGGGCGGUCUCCUCCCAAAGUGUAACGGAGGAGUUCGAAGGUACGCUAGUUACGGUCGGACAUCGUGGCGAUAGUGCAAUGGCAUAAGCGUGCUUAACUGCGAGACUGACAAGUCGAGCAGAUGCGAAAGCAGGACAUAGUGAUCCGGUGGUUCUGUAUGGAAGGGCCAUCGCUCAACGGAUAAAAGGUACUCUGGGGAUAACAGGCUGAUACCGCCCAAGAGUUCAUAUCGACGGCGGUGUUUGGCACCUCGAUGUCGGCUCAUCUCAUCCUGGGGCUGUAGCCGGUCCCAAGGGUAUGGCUGUUCGCCAUUUAAAGAGGUACGUGAGCUGGGUUUAAAACGUCGUGAGACAGUUUGGUCCCUAUCUUCCGUGGGCGCUGCAGAUUUGAGGAAGCCUGCUCCUAGUACGAGAGGACCGGAGUGGACGCACCUCUGGUGUAUCGGUUGUCACGCCAGUGGCAUUGCCGAGUAGCUAUGUGCGGAAGAGAUAACCGCUGAAAGCAUCUAAGCGGGAAACUCGUUCCAAGAUGAGAUCUGCCGGGGCCUUGAGCCCCCUGAAGAGUCGUUCAAGACCAGGACGUUGACAGGUCGGGUGUGGAAGCGCAGUAAUGCGUUAAGCUAACCGAUACUAAUUGCUCGUGCGGCUUGACC
rnacentral:rRNA from 1 species